GGUCUUGUGGUCUAGUGGUAGUAAGUCUACCCAACGUCCCUCCAAGUUCACCCAACCCUACUAACUGGGUUCCCUUAGUGAUUCCUGCUUCGGGUGCAGGAGGUCCCGUGUUCGAUCCACGGCAAGACCC